UAGGGAAUCUUCGGCAAUGGACGGAAGUCUGACCGAGCAACGCCGCGUGAGUGAAGAAGGUUUUCGGAUCGUAAAGCUCUGUUGUAAGAGAAGAACGAGUGUGAGAGUGGAAAGUUCACACUGUGACGGUAUCUUACCAGAAAGGGACGGCUAACUACGUGCCAGCAGCCGCGGUAAUACGUAGGUCCCGAGCGUUGUCCGGAUUUAUUGGGCGUAAAGCGAGCGCAGGCGGUUAGAUAAGUCUGAAGUUAAAGGCUGUGGCUUAACCAUAGUACGCUUUGGAAACUGUUUAACUUGAGUGCAAGAGGGGAGAGUGGAAUUCCAUGUGUAGCGGUGAAAUGCGUAGAUAUAUGGAGGAACACCGGUGGCGAAAGCGGCUCUCUGGCUUGUAACUGACGCUGAGGCUCGAAAGCAUGGGUAGCGAACAGGAUUAGAUACCCUGGUAGUCCAUGCCGUAAACGAUGAGUGCUAAGUGUUGGGAGGUUUCCGCCUCUCAGUGCUGCAGCUAACGCAUUAAGCACUCCGCCUGGGGAGUACGACCGCAAGGUU
rnacentral:rRNA from 1 species